CCUCUCUAUGGUGCGUCGGAGAACCGGCUAGAUGAGCGGUACCGGAAUGCAGUGGAUCCACAGCCAAAAGAAAAUAGGCGCUACCUCAAGCCCGGAAAAGCUGCACGGUGGGGCCUUUCUGGCCUUACCCAGUCCCUGCUCUCGAUAGUCCUCUGGGAGAAAGUGGUUUGAAUCACGUUUGAGUCCCGUUUUAAAAUGGCAAAGUCAGGGUAAAUGAUAAGCUGGACUGGAAAAUGGACAACAGACAUGAACUGGGAUUUAGCAACCUUCGAGCAAACUGAGAAGUACCUCCAGCUUAUUUCUACAGAAUCCUAACUAUAUAGAUUAUGAUUGAGAUUCACUCUUGGAAAGGAUGUCCUUCGUAACUCAUUUCUAAUUAAUUCCUUCCAGUUUGCUUGCAGGCAUCUGGCUGUUUUCUGGAGAAGAUUUGUAUAAGAAGUACCUUCACCAGAAGAUUUGAAUAAAAUUCAAAAUGACUCCUAGUUGUUUCAGUGAAAAAACAGGGGAAAGUGUCAUUUUUUUCCUGUAUUCUGUGAACCAAAAGGUAUAAAAAAAAAUCCUUAAUUUCUGUCCCCAAGAACAAAGAUGAAAGUAUAUAACAUGCAAUUAAAUGCUACUUUUGUAUAAAUAUG